rnacentral:rRNA from 1 species
UGAAUACGAGACGCUACGGCGUCGAAGCAGUCUAUGUCAUACUUCCAAGAAAAGCUUGCACUGUCAUAAACAAAUAAUGCCUGUACCAUAACCGACACAGGUGGGUAGGUAGAGUAUACUAAGGGGCGCGAGAUAACUCUCUCUAAGGAACUCGGCAAAAUGACUCCGUAACUUCGGGAGAAGGAGUGCCUUAUUUAUAAGGUUGCAAUAACAAGAUCCAAGCAACUGUUUAUCAAAAACACAGGUCUCCGCUAAGUCGUAAGACGACGUAUGGGGGCUGACGCCUGCCCAGUGCCAGAAGGUUAAAGAAGUUGGUUAGCAUUAGCGAAGCUGAUAACUGAAGCCCUGGUGAACGGCGGCCGUAACGAUAACGGUCCUAAGGUAGCGAAAUUCCUUGUCGGGUAAGUUCCGACCCGCACGAAAGGCGUAAUGAUUUGGAUACUGUCUCGGAGAGGGGCUCGGUGAAAUAGACUUGUCUGUGAAGAUGCGGACUACCUGCACCCGGACAGAAAGACCCUAUGAAGCUUUACUGUAACCUGAAAUUGAAAUUGGACUUUAUUUGCGCAGUAUAGGUGGGAGACGUUGAGAAUAUUCUUGCGGGAAUAUUGGAGCCAUCAGUGAGAUACCACUCUUGUAAUGUUAGAUUUCUAACUUUGAAUCAUUAUCUGGUCAAAGAACAGUUUCAGGCGGGCAGUUUGACUGGGGCGGUCGCCUCCUAAAUGGUAACGGAGGCGCACAAAGGUUUCCUCUGAACGGGUAGAAAUCGUAUCUAGAGUGUAAAGGCAUAAGGAAGCUUGACUGUGAGACCUACAAGUCGAGCAGGGACGAAAGUCGAUCUUAGUGAUCUGACGGUUCUGAGUGGAAAGGCCGUCACUCAACGGAUAAAAGUUACUCUAAGGAUAACAGGCUGAUCUCCCCCAAGAGUUCACAUCGACGGGGAGGUUUGGCACCUCGAUGUCGGCUCAUCGCAUCCUGGGGCGGUAGUACGUCCCAAGGGUUGGGCUGUUCGCCCAUGAAAGCGGUACGCGAGCUGGGUUCAGAACGUCGUGAGACAGUUCGGUCCAUAUCCGGUGUAGGCGUUAGAAUAUUGAGAGGAGCCUUCUUUAGCACGAGAGGACCGAGAAGGACAUACCUCUGGUGUACCAGUUAUCGUGCCAACGGUAAACGCUGGGUAGCUAUGUAUGGAGAGGAUAACCGCUGAAAGCAUCUAAGUGGGAAGCCCACCUCAAGAUAAG